rnacentral:rRNA from 1 species
GACGGAGGAUGCAAGCGUUAUCCGGAAUUAUUGGGCGUAAAGGGUACGUAGGCGGCUGGUCAAGUCUGGGGUCAAAGGCCACAGCUCAACUGUGGGAAGGCCCUGGAAACUGGCCGGCUAGAGUGAGGUAGGGGUUGCGGGAAUUCCCGGUGUAGCGGUGAACUGCGUAGAGAUCGGGAAGAACACCUGAGGCGGAAGCGCGCAACUGGGCCUCAACUGACGCUGAGGUACGAAAGCUAGGGGAGCGAAUGGG